UACGGAAGGCAGCAGUGGGGAAUAUUGCACAAUGGGCGAAAGCCUGAUGCAGCUAUGCCGCGUGUAUGAAGAAGGCCUUAGGGUUGUAAAGUACUUUCAUCGGGGAGGAAAAACAAAACUAAUAAUUUUAUUUCUUGACGUUACCCGAAAAAGAAGCACCGGCUAACUCCGUGCCAGCAGCCGCGGUAAUACGGAGGGUGCUAGCGUUAAUCAGAAUUACUGGGCGUAAAGAGCACGUAGGUGGUUUUUUUAAGUCAGAUGUGAAAUCCCUGGGCUUAACCUAGGAACUGCAUUUUGAAACUGAAAUACUAGAGUAUCGUAGAGGGAGGUAGAAUUCUAGGUGUAGCGGUGAAAUGCGUAGAUAUCUGGAGGAAUACCUGUGGCGAAAGCGGCCUCCUAAACGAAUACUGACACUGAGGUGCGAAAGCGUGGGGAGCGAAACAGGGAUUAGGAUACC
rnacentral:rRNA from 1 species